UCAAGUGACUGCCCAAUCAACUGGCGAUGGUAGUUUAUGUGCCUACCAUGGUUGUAACGGGUAACGGGGAAUCAGGGUUCGAUUCCGGAGAGAGAGCAUGAGAAACGGCUAUCACAUCCAAGGAAGGCAGCAGGCGCGCAAAUUACCCAAUCCUAGAUCGGGGAGGUAGUGACGAAAAAUAACAAUGCCGCAGUCGAAUAGACUCGGCAAUUGGAAUGAGUACAAUCUAAAUCCUUUAACGAGGAACAAUUGGAGGGCAAGUUCUGGUGCCAGCAGCCGCGGUAAUUCCAGCUCGAAUAGCGUAUAUUAAAGUUGUUGCAGUUAAAAAGCUCGUAGUUGGAUAUCAGGAGAUGAUUCACGGACUUCUUAAUGGAGCAACCGUGUUUUCGCUCCUCUUUGUACCGUUUCAUCGUCGAUGCACUUUAUUGUGUGUCACGUUUGAACGGCCUUUUUACUUUGAGAAAAUUAGCGUGCUUAACGCAGGCGUUACAGCUUGUAUAAUGUUGCAUGGAAUAAUGAAAUAGGACCUCGGUUCUGUUUUGUUGGUAUGCGGAUGCUGA
rnacentral:rRNA from 1 species